UGAAAGAAUACCAGGGCAAGGGCUGCCCCGAAAGGAAAACUUCAGAGGGAUGUUACCAACCUGAAACUAGGCGAUGAAGGCAGGAACAAAUGGAAGAGGAAUUUUUUAUUUGGAUGACACAACACAAACACGCCAUGGUAAUCCUGUCAUUCCUGAUGUGUUCCUGUACUACACUUACAAACAAUGCAGAGCAUUGAAACGCAACGUACUGACAGUCAGGCAGGAGAGCAGAACUGCAGACCCAACACUGGAAUUAUAACGUGCAGGUGAGAAUCUAAAACUGCAUACAAAGCCAUUUCUGAAAAUUGGAAAGGAGGGAACAAAGAUGAACUGUGAAAACAUGAAGAAAAUCUUUUGUGAUCAGUCCUCUGACCCGGUCUGACAGAAAAUUCAGAAAUUUAGAUGCUGAUCAUACUCUCUAGAAAUCCAUGGCAUAGGUGUGCUGCCUCAUUCCCUGCAGAUAGGUGGACAGUGCCCCAGCAGUACCUCCUCCCUCCCUCCAGAAGUCACACUCUCAGCUGCACUGGAAACCCUUCAUGCCAAAGGACAAGGUAGAGGAAAUAAACAUCUCUGCAUUGCCACCCUGCAUCCUGCUCUGCCUUCUGCCAUGACAGCCUCCUCCUAUUAAAGGGCAAAUUAGUUUGGCUAGAAGAAUUAGCACCUCCCAAGCCCUAGAAAGAAAGCCAAGACAUGAGGGCUCACAGAAACUGUGCCACCUGCCUUCUCACACCUUCCCUCACUGAAGGCUAAUUACCUGAGCUUCCUUCAUAUGCAUGUCUCUUUUGCAUUCUUCAACUUUCAGUAAUAAGCAAACUAGAAUAACCAAUAAGUAAAUUAGAAAAAACGAUGGAGAAGAGAUAAUGAGCUCCAAAACUUCCUUUUCCAAGGAGCCAAAACUCCUGGUCUCACCCUUCUGGUAGCAAAGGAUAUUCUUGCUGGAGGAUGUCCUGCCUCAAAUCAGGUGGCUUUUUUGAGGUUUCAUCCCUUGAUUCCCUUCCAAACAGAAUCAAAUUUCAAGGCUACACUAGAAAAUAAACUCUGACAAAUGUCCAUGACUUAAGUUUAGCAAUCCUUCCCCUCCCUACUUUCUCCUGGCAGGGUUUUUACAUAUAGCCAAAAGGAAAAAUCCUGCUUAUCAUCAGCAACAGGGAAGCCAGGAGAUCACAUAUGCCUACCACAGGUAUGUGUUAUUAUUCUACAAGCUUCUUUAUGGAACACCAGUAUAUGUUAUAAUCAACAACUUUCUCCCCUUCACCUUUAAAAACAAACAAACAAAAAAAAAGAGCAAACAACCACAUACUAAACUAGGAAAGUACAACAUGCACAUCAAAGGAAGCAUUUCUUAAAACAUCAGAUAUCCCACUACUGUGAACUCUUUGAAAAACACCCAAAGAAACCUGUCUGCAGGGUAAGCAGCCUUCAGUGAGAGCAGAUGCACUUUUUCCAAAAUCCCCCAUUUGGGGGGAAUUUGAGAAAAGCUUACAUGUUGUCCUCACAUAACAGGAAACGAUCAUAGAAUAAAAUUUUUGCUGUAGCAAAUACAAGAGUGAACAUAAACACCACCACCACUUUCUACUCAGAAAAAGAACAUUCCCACACAGGAGAAGGAGACAGCACAAUAAAUGUGAAUUCACAUAACGACUUGGAUAUGCAAAGAAUUUCAAAAGCACUGAACAAUUUGGAGUAGCCAUGAUGUGCUCAACACGAGCUCAUACAAGACUUGAUCUAAAACCACUAGAAGUCAAUGGGUUCCAGCCCUUUCAGCUCUCAACAUCAGAGUCUACACAGUUAAAAGCCAAUGCAAACCACAGCUAAAUCCUCUCUCUUCCAAUAUUCUAAUACAGACCCAUAGGACCUUUAAAUUUCCUUGGGACCAUCCAGCAGCAGCACCCUUGGUUUCACAACUGGUACGUCAGGACUAGAUUAUUCCAUCAUUAGCAAGUAACACUGGAACACACCAGCUCAGCCAAAGGUCACCAAUUCAAAUCAGGUGAAGGAAGGCUGAGACUAAUUUAAAGAUCCUGGGACUAAUGUGAAGGGUGAUUUUGAGCCAGUGAGCAGGGAAAAAAAAAAACAGUCUCAUGAGGAAGGAAGUAGACAUAUCCAAUUUUACAAAACUUUUGUUGUUACUGUGCCUUAGACAGCUGUUCUAUGAGAAAAUGAAGGACUAUACCUUCCAGUGACUUUGUCCAGCUUCUUCACUUUAAAAAAAAGCAAUACAUUUAAACAGCUAUAUUACUUUCAGUCCCAAAGUAAGGGAGAAAACUCAAGCCUCUCACUUUAAGGCAACACUACUAAAUAAUGCAACUGCAACAAUUAUGAGAAAGUCUCCUGAAAAAUAACUUUUUACUACAGAUUUUUUUUUUUUAUGAAGAACAAGCCCUUUGCUCUGCUUCUUGUUGUUGUGUUUUUUUUUUUUCCUCAAAUGUUUAUUCAGCAGUUGGAGCUGGGAAAACAGGAACCAGAAAAUCUAGUAAAUUGUCUCAACACACAAGUAGGACUGAACUGCAAAAGGAAAACAAAUCAUUUUAUAAAAAUAUUGACAGUAUGUCAAUUAUGCAAACAUAUAUUUACGACAGACUAAGCUUUGUAAAUAAAAGCUAAAUGUAUUACUGUAACUAGCAGAUGGCUCGCUGUGAUUGUAUGACUUCUAUUCUAAAAUAAUAAAAGCAACAUGCAUAUACUGCUGAAAAAAA